GAUGCUGNGGUGUGNGNCACUCUCUCNUAACAUGCAAGUCGAACGAUGAAGCCCUUCGGGGUGGAUUAGUGGCGAACGGGUGAGUAACACGUGGGCAAUCUGCCCUUCACUCUGGGACAAGCCCUGGAAACGGGGUCUAAUACCGGAUAANACUCCUGCCUGCAUGGGCGGGGGUUGAAAGCUCCGGCGGUGAAGGAUGAGCCCGCGGCCUAUCAGCUUGUUGGUGGGGUAAUGGCCCACCAAGGCGACGACGGGUAGCCGGCCUGAGAGGGCGACCGGCCACACUGGGACUGAGACACGGCCCAGACUCCUACGGGAGGCAGCAGUGGGGAAUAUUGCACAAUGGGCGAAAGCCUGAUGCAGCGACGCCGCGUGAGGGAUGACGGCCUUCGGGUUGUAAACCUCUUUCAGCAGGGAAGAAGCGAAAGUGACGGUACCUGCAGAAGAAGCGCCGGCUAACUACGUGCCAGCAGCCGCGGUAAUACGUAGGGCGCAAGCGUUGUCCGGAAUUAUUGGGCGUAAAGAGCUCGUAGGCGGCUUGUCACGUCGGAUGUGAAAGCCCGAGGCUUAACCUCGGGUCUGCAUUCGAUACGGGCUAGCUAGAGUGUGGUAGGGGAGAUCGGAAUUCCUGGUGUAGCGGUGAAAUGCGCAGAUAUCAGGAGGAACACCGGUGGCGAANGCGGAUCUCUGGGCCAUUACUGACGCUGAGGAGCGAAANCGUGGGGAGCGAACANGAUUAGAUACCCUGGUAGUCCACGCCGUAAACGUUGGGAACUAGGUGUUGGCGACAUUCCACGUCGUCGGUGCNCAACUACGCAUUAAUUCCCGCCUGGGGANNCNGCNCAGGGUAAACUNAANGANUGACGGGNCCCCCANCGCGACUGUGCUUAUUCACCACCGAAACUACAGGUNANUUCCGAANAUAAAAAGCCCCUNGGCGAUNAGGGGCUGGUCNACUUUCNANUNGUAUCCNANCCCCUUCUUUCCCUCCUNGGAGGACAAAACCGNAUGNNGGNNCAAAUCCUUUGNUCCNNAGNCAANUNCNGGGNAANGNUNUGGNCCCANGUNAAUUGANCCCCCCNAACC
rnacentral:rRNA from 1 species